UAAAUGUGGCAUUUAUUGUUUGGAUUUUUUCUGUAAUUUAGUUGUGUUGUAAACAUACAUUGUCAUGCAAUAACACAGAAGGGACGAUAUCGAUCCUUCUUUAUGGAAUCAGCCUGCACCUGCCAGUUGCUUGAUUCUAAUGUGCUACUAUGGUACAAGUACUUGUAUAUGCAAGUAAUUUUCUUUGAGGACAUUCUUCCUGGUUAACUCAUUUGCUUAAGAUACCCAACUUUAAUUUGCUUUAUCUGUCCAGUUACUGAUAUGAAAAUGGUUUGAUUUACAUGGAGAAAAAAAAUUAAUACAUGUAAUAAUUAUUAAAUACCGGUACUGGUACAUUGCAUCUAGACAUUAAAAAUAAUUUUGCUUGCCAAAAAUUUUAAGAUGGUAGUUUUUUCCCAGUUUUCAAACAGUAUACAUGUAUGUAAUAUAUAAACUUCUAUCAUGUCGUGUAUAAGUUCAAGGUCACGCUGGCUAAAUGACCUUGUGUUAUUUUGACCUUGUGUUAUGGUUGGUGGUUAGGCUUCAGCAAUACACUGUUCUGAUUAUUUUUAUGUGUUGAACUGUGAUAUUGAUCUAUUGUUUUCUGUUCACUGCUGUAGACUAAAUGUAAUACGGACUAUAUUUUAGAUGGUCCAUCCAGGUAUCAGCUGUUGAGUACAUGAAGUUACCAUAAUAAAAUCUGCUAG
rnacentral:misc_RNA from 1 species